rnacentral:lncRNA from 1 species
UCUGCAUUAAUAGUUUUCAGAAGUAGCCUAUCUAGUUUUCCGAGGUGGGUUCUAUUCACCUAUAGCUAUUUUCCUGCUUAUUUCUAGGCUAUGGUUUACCUCUAUCAUGCAAAUGCCCAACACUUUUUUGCUUUCUAAGAUCAUCCUGUAUGAAAGAUGUAUGACUGGAUAAUGAAAGACUUGCAUGGUAUGCAAUCUGAACGUCCACAAAGUACAAAAGGUAUCACCUAAUAAGAGAAAUGAUAUUAACACAACACGAUAUGGGAUAGAAAGCAAAUCCUAAAAGGAAAAACCCAUCACUAAACAGAAUAGAAGAAAUGGGUUCAGG